GAUGAACGCUGGCGGCGUGCCUAAUACAUGCAAGUCGAGCGAACAGACGAGGAGCUUGCUCCUCUGACGUUAGCGGCGGACGGGUGAGUAACACGUGGAUAACCUACCUAUAAGACUGGGAUAACUUCGGGAAACCGGAGCUAAUACCGGAUAAUAUAUUGAACCGCAUGGUUCAAUAGUGAAAGACGGUUUUGCUGUCACUUAUAGAUGGAUCCGCGCCGCAUUAGCUAGUUGGUAAGGUAACGGCUUACCAAAGCAACGAUGCGUAGCCGACCUGAGAGGGUGAUCGGCCACACUGGAACUGAGCCACGGUCCAGACUCCUACGGGAGGCAGCAGUAGGGAAUCUUCCGCAAUGGGCGAAAGCCUGACGGAGCAACGCCGCGUGAGUGAUGAAGGUCUUCGGAUCGUAAAACUCUGUUAUUAGGGAAGAACAAAUGUGUAAGUAACUAUGCACGUCUUGACGGUACCUAAUCAGAAAGCCACGGCUAACUACGUG
rnacentral:rRNA from 1 species